rnacentral:rRNA from 3 species
UUGACCUCGGAUCAGGUAGGAAUACCCGCUGAACUUAAGCAUAUCAUAAGCGGAGGAA